UAUGGACACUUGGAAUUACACAAAAGAAUUUGACUUCAUCCUCAUGGGACUGACAGAUCCAAAGAGAUACAACUUGUCCUUGCUAUAGUGUUUCUCGUGAUAUACUUGGUCACUGUGCUGGGCAACACAGGCAUGAUGCUGAUCAUUUGUCUAGAUGCUCAUCUUCACACUCCAAUGAAUUUCUUUCUAACACAUCUGUCAUUCCUUGACCUCAUUUAUUCAACUGUCAUCACACCUAAAACCUUUGAAAACCUCUUCACUUCCAUCAAGAAUAAUUCCUUCAUGGGUUGCAUCACCCAGCUGUACAUUUUGUUUUGUUUGGUGGUGCUCAAUGUUUUCUUCUCUCCUCCAUGGCCUAUGACUGCUAUGUAGCUAUAUGAAACCCUCUAUACUACCUAGCUGUUAUGUCCAGAAGACAAUGGCAUGCCUUCCUCAUUGGUUCCUACCUUAUGGGAGCUAUAGAUUCUUCUAUCAAUAUGCUUUGUCUAAACAGGAUGAUUUCUGUGGCUCUCAUGUCAUCAAUCACCUUUUUUUGUGACACACCUACAAUUUUAGCCCUGUCCUACAGUGAUACGUAUGUCAUUGAAAUAAUAAUAAUCAUUGUCUUUCGUUCAAGUCUAAUGGUGUCCCUUCUCACCAUAUCAGUGUCUUAUGCAUCCAUUCUCUCUACCAUCUUGAAAAUCAAUUCUAUUUCAGGAAAGCAAAAAGCCUUUUCCACUUGUGCCUCUCAUCUCCUGGCAGUCACCAUAUCUUAUAGUACUGCAAUCUUCACUUAUUCAAAAUCAAAGAGAUUAUACUCCUUGGGAAAGGAUCAAGUGGUUUCUGCUCUCUACACCAUCGUGAUCCCCAUGCUGAAUCCACUCAUUUACAGUCUCAGAAACAAAGAAGUAGAAAAUGCUGUCAGUAGAGUUAUAAAGAAAAGGGAAGACUCCAGGUAG
rnacentral:lncRNA from 1 species